UGUGGGGCAGAAGCAUUCCCUGCUCCCGACUCCAUGUGUCCUCCUUUGCUCUGCUUCAGUGUGUAGAUCAUAAGGCAUGGGGCCAAGCCCACGGCACCGCUAGAGCUCCAGCACCAGACAGGUUCACAUCGGCCACCCGCGUUGUGCCAAUUGUAGGAGCGACUGCCGCCAAUGGAGGUCAAACAACCAGGACUGAAGCUGAUGCGGAGGCCUGGCCAUCAGUGAUGGGCUUUCCUGACAAUGCCUGGUCUGACUCUCAAGGACUCCGCCAUAUGUCAUUUAGCAAAAGCAGUCAUGAAAGAGCAACUUAACAUCUGGACCUUCUUGGAGAUACGUGCUUCACAUUCCUUCCCUCAAAGCAAAAUUGAUUGGCCUUGACCUGGGGCCACACCAGGGAGAAGGCACCCUCUGGGGCAAGGGUGCCUUUCAGUGCCUGGCUGAAGGCAGUCACCACAUGGUCCAGGAAGCCUGAGGAAUGAGAGGUAUGUGGGAGUCCAAAGGGCUGGGCUCUGUCCUGGCUGUCAUCACCCAAGGGCAUCUGCAAGUUGCGAUGAGAUCCAGGAAGAUGCAGUUCAAUCUCAGAUACACGUAGCUCACAGGAAGAUUGCAUAAUAUAGGAACGGGAAAAGACUUAACUUAUCCCAGUGGUUUCAGCUGCUACCUGGAAUGCCAAAGAUGCCUGAAAUCUAUCACCUCUCCAUUCCUUGAAUUAUCUAUGAUGACUGGGGGUCCUAUAAUCACUGUCCACCACAUCACCAUGCAGCUUACUUAACUCUGCAUUGAAAACAUCUGUUUCCCAAAAUGAGAAGAGUGAAGGAGGUUAGGGCAGUGGCUCAGUGGAUGGAAAGGAGCACUCGCUACUCUUCCAGAGGACUGGGUUACUGCAGGAGAGAACUGUGAAGAGAAGAAGGGAGGAUGCAGAAGUAGAGAACAGCGUGAGGACCACUGAAGAGCUUUAGAAACAGAACUUGGAACACACUACCCUGUAGCAUGAAUCUUAAAGGAUCUUAUUAAUGAAAUCAAACCUGAAGCCAGGUACU